CCCUUAGAUGUUCUGGGCCGCACGCGCGCUACACUGACGAAGUCAGCGAGCAUGUCCUACGCCGACAGGUGCGGGGAAUCUUGUCAAACUUCGUCGUGAUGGGGAUUGAUUUUUGAAAUUCUUGAUCAUAAACGAGGAAUUCCUAGUAAGCGCAAGUCAGCAGCUUGCGUUGAUUACGUCCCUGCCCUUUGUACACACCGCCCGUCGCUACUACCGAUUGAAUGGUUUAGUGAGAUCUUCGGAUUGGCGCCACUGCAGCUCAGCAAUGGGCUUGGUGGAUGCCGAAAAGUUGAUCAAACUUGAUCAUUUAGAGGAAGUAAAGGUCGUAACA
rnacentral:rRNA from 1 species